GAGUUUGAUCCUGGCUCAGGAUGAACGCUAGCGGCAGGCCUAAUACAUGCAAGUCGAGGGGCAGCAGGGUAGCAAUAUCGCUGGCGACCGGCGCACGGGUGCGUAACACGUAUACAAUCUGCCUUUAACGGGGGGAUAGCCCGGAGAAAUCCGGAUUAAUACCCCAUAACACGAGAAACGGCAUCGUUUUUGUUAAAAGCUCCGGCGGUUAGAGAUGAGUAUGCGUCUGAUUAGCUAGUUGGUGAGGUAACGGCUCACCAAGGCGACGAUCAGUAGGGGAUCUGAGAGGAUUAACCCCCACACGGAUACUGAGACACGGAUCCGACUCCUACGGGAGGCAGCAGUAAGGAAUAUUGGACAAUGGGGGCAACCCUGAUCCAGCAAUGCCGCGUGAGUGAUGAAGGCCUCGGUUG
rnacentral:rRNA from 1 species